GCGCUGGGGGCGGGGGGGUGUUGAGGAAAGGGGAGCAAGGCGGGAGAAGCGGACGGUUGGGCGCUGCAGGGACUCCUGGGAGAUGUAGUUCUGCGAGUAGUGCAUGACGCAUCCGGGUUCAAGGCCUUCUGGGAGUUGUGGUUUAUUGGGCUUUGGGCUCUGGUUGAGUUUCCUUGGUUGGAUGGCUUUUUAACAAUGGUGAGGGAUGCAGAGAUAAAUGAGAUAUCUACGGAUUACAGUUUUAAGUAGUGAAACUGCACCUGACCUUCAUGCGGCCUCUUCACCCCCUCAGAGUCUGUUUCCACUGACACACCUGGGAUAUAACACUUCUGUGACGAGAGAAAUGCACCAGAGACCUGCUGAUGGUGUUCUGGAGACUUCUUGUUGCUUCUGUAAACUCAGGCCGAUUGACAGAGAGAGAGCCUCGUGGUUUCUUCUGGAGCAAACUGUCACUGCUGAUUCAUGAAUGGUGUUUACGAGUGGAUUGAGCUACCGCUGCUGAUUUGUGUGACCUGAACUGCUGCUACCCUGACACUGAAGCAACUAAUGCUACAGCAACAACCAGCCAACAACCCUCCACCUCUCCGUGCCCUGGCAUUUAUCUACCCUCUGACAAGUCCUCAGAACUCCAAACUGUCACAUGAUCACAGAAACUAUCUGCAGCUGGCAAAAAUCCCCCCCUGCAAGGCUCCUAAGCUGCUCAGUCUGAACAGUCUGAAGCAGGCCCACAUCCCACACCUGGGAAUAAAACGAAAACAUACUCUUAUACUA